rnacentral:rRNA from 1 species
GGCCCUACGGGGUGCAGCAGGCGCGAAAACUUUACAAUGCUGGGAACAGCGAUAAGGGAACCUCGAGUGCCAGGUUACAAAUCUGGCUGUCGUGAUGCCUAAAAAGCAUUAUAUAGCAAGGGCCGGGCAAGACCGGUGCCAGCCGCCGCGGUAACACCGGCGGCUCGAGUGGUAACCGUUAUUAUUGGGUCUAAAGGGUCUGUAGCCGGCCGGAUAAGUCUCUUGGGAAAUCUGGCAGCUCAACUGUCAGGCUUUCAGGGGAUACUGUCUGGCUCGAGGCCGGGAGAGGUGAGAGGUACUUCAGGGGUAGGGGUGAAAUCUUGUAAUCCUUGAAGGACCACCAGUGGCGAAGGCGUCUCACCAGAACGGACCUGACGGCAAGGGACGAAAGCUAGGGGCACGAACCGGAUUAGAUACCCGGGUAGUCCUAGCCGUAAACGAUACUCGCUAGGUGUCGGCCACGGUGCGACCGUUGUCGGUGCCGUAGGGAAGCCGUGAAGCGAGCCACCUGGGAAGUACGGCCGCAAGGCUGAAACUUAAAGGAAUUGGCGGGGGAGCACCACAACGGGCGGAGCUUGCGGUUUAAUUGGAUUCAACGCCGGAAAUCUU